rnacentral:rRNA from 1 species
GGCGAACGGGUGAGUAAUACGUGAGAAUCUACCCUUAGGAGAAGAAUAACUGCUGGAAACGGCUGCUAAUACUUCAUAAGCCGAGAGGUAAAAAAGUUUAGACUGCCUAAGAAUGAGCUCGCGCCUGAUUAGCUUGUUGGUAAGGUAAAGGCUUACCAAGGCCACGAUCAGUAGCUGGUUUGAGAGAACGAUCAGCCACACUGGGACUGAGACACGGCCCAGACUCCUCCGGGAGGCAGCAGUGAGGAAUUUUCCGCAAUGGGCGAAAGCCUGACGGAGCAAUACCGCGUGAGGGAUGAAGGAUUUUGGUCUGUAAACCUCUUUUCUCAAGAAAGAAGUUCUGACGGUACUUGAGGAAUAAGCAUCGGCUAACUCCGUGCCAGCAGCCGCGGUAAUACGGGGGAUGCAAGCGUUAUCCGGAAUCAUUGGGCGUAAAGCGCCUGUAGGUUGUUUAAUAAGUCUGUUGUUAGAGACUAGGGCUCAACCCUAGAAAAGCAAUGGAAACUAAUGGACUAGAGUAUGGCAGGGGUAGAGGGAAUUUCUAGUGUAGCGGUGAAAUGCGUAGAUAUUAGAAAGAACACCAGUGGCGAAAGCGCUCUACUGGACCAUUACUGACACUCAGAGGCGAAAGCUAGGGUAGCAAAAGGGAUUAGAUACCCCUGUAGUCCUAGCCGUAAACGAUGGAUACUAGAUGUUGUGUUGUAUCACAGUAUCGCAGCUAACGCGUUAAGUAUCCCGCCUGGGGAGUACGCUCGCAAGGGUGAAACUCAAAGGAAUUGACGGGGGCCCGCACAAGCGGUGGAGCAUGUGGUUUAAUUCGAUGCAACGCGAAGAACCUUACCAGGGCUUGACAUACUACUGAUCUUUUUGAGAAAGAAGAGUGCCUUCGGGAAUGUAGAUACAGGUGGUGCAUGGCUGUCGUCAGCUCGUGUCGUGAGAUGUUGGGUUAAGUCCCGCAACGAGCGCAACCCUUAUUUUUAGUUACUAACUUGUUGGGUUCUCUAGAAAGACUGCCGGUGACAAACCGGAGGAAGGUGAGGAUGACGUCAAGUCAGCAUGCCCCUUAUGUCCUGGGCUACACACGUGCUACAAUGGCUAAGACAAAGAGUUGCGAAUUCGUGAGAAUCAGCUAAUCUCGUAAACUUAGCCUAAGUUCAGAUUGUAGGCUGCAACUCGCCUACAUGAAGUUGGAAUCGCUAGUAAUCGCAGGUCAGCUAUACUGCGGUGAAUCCGUUCCCGGGCCUUGUACACACCGCCCGUCACACCAUGGGAGCUGGUCACACCCGAA